rnacentral:rRNA from 1 species
UCGCCCUGUUUUUACAAAAACAUGUCUUUUUGAAUUUAAUUUAAAGUCUAACCUGCCCACUGAAAUUUUAAAUGGCCGCAGUAUCUUGACUGUGCAAAGGUAGCAUAAUCAUUAGUUUCUUAAUUAGAAGCUGGAAUGAAGGGUUGAAUGAGAAAAUAACUGUUUCUGUUUAAUUAUAAUAAAAUUUUAUUUUUAAGUUAAAAAGCUUAAAUUUUUUUAAAAGACGAGAAGACCCUAUAGAGUUUUAUAUAAUAAAUAAUUUAAUUUUUUAGUAUUUUUAUUUUUAAAUUUAUUAUUAUAUUUUGUUGGGGUGAUAGAAAAAUUAAUUAAACUUUUUAUUUUUAAUAACAUUAAUUUAUGAAUUUUUGAUCCAUUAGUUAUGAUUACAAGAUUAAAUUACCUUAGGGAUAACAGCGUAAUUUUUUUAGAGAGUUCUAAUCAAUAGAAAAGAUUGCGACCUCGAUGUUGGAUUAAAAUUAAUUAUUGGUGUAGAAGCUAAUAAUUUUAGGUCUGUUCGACCUUUAAAAUUUUACGUGAUCUGAUUCAGACCGGA